UCUUCCUACGGGAGGCAGCAGUGAGGAAUAUUGGUCAAUGGCCGAGAGGCUGAACCAGCCAAGUCGCGUGAGGGAAGACGGCCCUACGGGUUGUAAACUUCUUUUGUCGGGGAACAAAGGCGGAGACGCGUCUCCGGAUGAGUGUACCCGAAGAAAAAGCAUCGGCUAACUCCGUGCCAGCAGCCGCGGUAAUACGGAGGAUGCGAGCGUUAUCCGGAUUUAUUGGGUUUAAAGGGUGCGCAGGCGGGAGAUUCAGUUAGCGGCACAAU
rnacentral:rRNA from 1 species